rnacentral:rRNA from 1 species
CGGCGGCCUAAUACAUGCAAGUCGAGCGGACAGAUGGGAGCUUGCUCCCUGAUGUUAGCGGCGGACGGGUGAGUAACACGUGGGUAACCUGCCUGUAAGACUGGGAUAACUCCGGGAAACCGGGGCUAAUACCGGAUGCUUGUUUGAACCGCAUGGUUCAAACAUAAAAGGUGGCUUCGGCUACCACUUACAGAUGGACCCGCGGCGCAUUAGCUAGUUGGUGAGGUAAUGGCUCACCAAGGCAACGAUGCGUAGCCGACCUGAGAGGGUGAUCGGCCACACUGGGACUGAGACACGGCCCAGACUCCUACGGGAGGCAGCAGUAGGGAAUCUUCCACAAUGGACGAAAGUCUGACGGAGCAACGCCGCGUGAGUGAUGAAGGUUUUCGGAUCGUAAAGCUCUGUUGUUAGGGAAGAACAAGUACCGUUCGAAUGUGGCGGUGCGUUGGCGGUGCCUAACCAGAAAGACUCUGCUCACUACGUGUGCGCUACCGCGCUAAUUAGGGGUGGGGAGCGUUGUGGGAAUCAUGUGUGCGC